UUGAUUGUGUCAUAUGUUUAGGAAGAGGUUGAGUUGAGCUAUGCUAGAUGUACAUGUUAUAGCAGUUCUAUAUGAAGUUUCUAACUAUAUUGUUACAUUGGCAGCACAUAAAUGUUGCAUUUGAAAUGCUAAAUUGUAAGAGGGUUGAGCAAGGUGCUUGGUUCCGCAACAACAAUCUUCCAGCAGCAUGCUUUGUACCAGUCAAUUUCUUAGAAGUGGUUGGGUACGCUUAUGAAUCUGUCAGGAAGCCACAUAAGAAAAGAAAAAAGUUAUUGGAGGGCUGUGUAGGCGAACUUGUGAAAGGUGUAAUACAUCCAAAGAAGGUAUGGCUGGAAGAUGUUGAUGUUAUAUAUGGUGUCAUUGAAGAUAAGUUGAGCUGUCACUAUAUUGGGGUGGAGAUACAAUUGAUGGACAACACAAUCACACUCUUCCAUUGUGGUCUUCCAAAAGAAAAUAUCAAACGUGCUCUUAAUCAAAUCCAAGAACUGGCAGGUAAAAAUAUUAAUUUUAUCAUUCAGUGUAGAAAAAUCAGUUUAAUUUAUAUUGUUACAUUGAUAAUGGAUAGGAUUGUGAAAGUAUGCGUAUCCUGAAAAAAGAAUUUUAGCUAAUUUAGAAAAUAAAAGUUUGUCACUUGCUGCUUGUGCUUGUGAUGCAUUUUUACAUAUUCAUUUUGUUGUCUGUUGGUGAUUGAUUUAUUGUAUAAUUUUGGGUAUUUAUGACAGUUUGAUUAGUGCCAUAAAGAUGGAACUUCUUGGUGAAGAGGUUAAUUUCGAAGAUAUCAGUCCAUUUGAAGUUAAGUUUGCAGAAGGGCUUCCAAAGACAAAAUUUCCAUACAACUGUGGUAUUUUUGUUGUGAAGAUGCUGGAAUGCAGGUCACUGGGAUUGAAGAGCAUGGCUAAUAUAAAUGAUGAAACUGCGAUGGACUUACGAAGCAAGCUAUGUUGUGAGAUCUUCGACCAGUUUAUGGAUAAAGAUUUCCAGGAAGGUCAAAGGAAGUGAAAAUGUUCUGUUUUCUGUUUUCUGUCAUAUUUGUUCUGUUUUCUACUCUGUUUUUCUACUUUGAUAUUAAUUAUCCCUAACGUUUAAGUUUAAGUUUGUAAUGAAUUAUCCCUAACGUUUUUUUCAUUUAGAUUGUUAUUGAAAAAUUUUUAGGAUGUAUUGAUGAAUUGUCAAAUGCUUAUGGUACUUUUAGGAUGGGUUUCCAGAAAAAGAGUGAGAAAGCAAAAUGCACCAAAGCCUAGCAUAUUGCUUUAAAGUUUACAAAAAAUAUGAAAAAGAAUGUGACCGAUGUUGAUUGAACUCGUGAACUCUCGAAAGAUGAAUGAAAGUGUGCAGCCGCUGUGCCAAGGGUGUUAUACUUGCCAAAAGCUAUAAUAAAACGAACAUAACGUUUGAAUAUUUAAUUAAAAAAAAAAUGUGAGUAUACACAACGGGGAUCGAACACGGCUUAUUGUGUGAUAAGGGUACACUAAGAGUUGAAGGGCUUGCCACUAGGCUAUGGUGGAUAUUCGAUAACAGAGUAAAUGUGAACUUAUUUAUUCACAGACGAUAGAUUUAUAUGAUCUGGAUAUCAUUUUAGAUAAUCAGGAUAGCUUUCCAAAAACAAAUUCCUUUAAAGUUUACAAAAAAAAAAUGAAAAAGAAUGUGAUCUGAUGUUGAUUGAACUCGUUUAAUCCAAGUGUGCAGCCGUUGUACCAAGGGUCUUAUACUUGCCAAAAAGCUACAAUAAAACGAACAUAACGUUUGAAUAUUUAAUUAAAAAAAAAUGUGAGUAUACACAACGGGGAUCGAACACGGCUUAUUGUGUGAUAAGGGUACACUAAGAUUAGAAGGGCUUGCCACUAGGCUACGGUGGAUAUUCAAUAACAGAGUAAAUGUGAACUUAUUUAUUCACAGACGAUAGAUUUAUAUAAUCUGGAAAUCAUUUUAUGUAUUCAGGAUGGCUUUCCAAAAACAAAAUAAGCAAAUCAGAUAACCAAGUUAUAAGAACACUAGGCCAAACCAUUACAAAAUAGUGAAAAACAUUGAACAAGUUUUUUAUUUAGGUUGUUAAUUGAAGAAACAACACAAGAGAAACAAAAGUACUUAUUCAUUUAAAAUAAAAACUGAAAAUCAAACAUAAUGUGGUCCUUAAAAACAUAAAAAGAGAAGACGAUAACAUGAAAUUACUCAUGACACAGCCAACUUUCGCCAAGUUUAUCCCAAUCAGGGACUUUGACCUUCACAUCAGCAAGCAUUCCUUCCGCUUCCGAGUGCUCUUCUUUGAGUUUCUCCAACUCAGCAGUUAAAUCAAAUUUUCCAUCAGCUUUGAUAAUAUCUUCAAGCAACUCGAUUUGGACAGCAAUUGAAUUUGCUUUGCUGGAUGCAACAUUCCAAUCAUUCUCAGAUAGCCUGUAUUCGUUGGACAAACGAAGAAGAGCCCUGUAAUGUACCACAGUUUCCUUCUUCCCCUUCUUGAAACCUUCGGCGGCAUCACAUCCGUAAACCUCCUCUAUGGGACGCUUCAUCAUCUUCUUUGAACUUCCUUCCAUUGAAACUUUGUCCUGCAACAAAAUCGAAACUAAGAUGUAACGAUAAAAUAGAAAUAGAAAAAAGUUCAUGAAUUGAAUGGAAAAUGAGAAAAAUCGAAAACUAACUUGUAUUGCAAAAGGAUAAAUCAGACGAAAUGAAGUGAGUGAAUAAAAGGUCUGAUAUCGUCCCUUAUAUUUAUAGAACAAAAAGGAACUCUUCGAUUAUUGAAGUCAGUUAAAAUAAACUCUUGAUUAUUGUGGAACUCUUCGAUUAUUGAAGUCAGUUACUGAAAUAACCAAUCAUAUAACAGCCAAUCUUGACGAAAAGAAACUCUUCGGUUACUGAGUUACAUGAUGUCGUUUGGAAGAGACUCUUCGAUUCCUGAGAUAUAUGUUUGAACAAAAAAAAAAAAUCACCCAUUACUCGUAGGAGAGUCGAACCCGGGUCGAGCAAAUGUUUCGGUAUCAUAGGUUUCGUGGUUUAGCCGCUAGGCUGAGGAGAAUCAUCUGUUAGUUGCUUCCACAUAAUUGUAUUUAGCCAUACAAUUGAUAGUAUAAUACAUUAGAAAGAUCUUUGAUAGUUCAGGAUGGGCUUCCGAUUGCAACAAAUGUGAUUCCUGAGAUAUAUGUUUGAACA